GCCUGGGCACAAGCCCAGACCCCAACCGGGAUGCUGGAGGGGGAUGGGAGAAACCCUUUGCCGGGGGGGCGGAGAAGACGACCCCUAUCUGGCACAGAGAGCGGCAACUAUGCGAGGCAUUCCCUCCUCCCAUCAAGAAGGGGAGCACAGAAGGGUAGGAGGGGAACAGAAAAGUGUCUUCCUAUGCCACAAUCAGUCCUUGUUGACUCAUGGAGGGUACAUCAUAUGAAGGAAUAGUUAAAUACAAGGCAUUAGGAAGAAGAGCUGUGUGCCUCUAUUACUUGACCCAUGGAGUAUAAUGGAACAUCUUCCUACAGAAAUUAGAGGUCUUGAGGAGCUGCAGGCUACAUAUGAAGAGCACAGAUGGCCCUGAGAUUGCUUGACAGUUGCUGGCAUAGAUCUAUUUGGGGACUCACAAAAGCUAUUCUUUAGUUUUUAAAUAAAGGUAAUUUUAUGCACCCGCACACAUACAGAGGAAAGCAAUGGAUUUUUCACUAAUGCAAGAAUGGUAAAGAACUGGGCAGGGAAAGAGAGAGGAAGAACUGUUGCAUAGUGGAAGAAAGAGCUAACCCCCCCACACACACACACAUAGACACGCAUAUACACACAUAUGCUGUGUGGCC